AACGAACGCUGGCGGCAUGCCUAACACAUGUAAGUCGAACGAGACCUUCGGGUCUAGUGGCGCACGGGUGCGUAACGCGUGGGAACCUGCCCUUAGGGUCGGAAUAACUCCCCGAAAGGGGUGCUAAUACCGGAUAAUGGCUUCGGACCAAAGAUUUAUCGCCUUUGGAUGGGCCCGCGUUGGAUUAGCUAGUUGGUAGGGUAAAAGCCUACCAAGGCGACGAUCCAUAGCUGGUCUGAGAGGAUGAUCAGCCACACUGGGACUGAGACACGGCCCAGACUCCUACGGGAGGCAGCAGUGGGGAAUAUUGGAACAUGGGCGAAAGCCUGAUCCAGCAAUGCCGCGUGAGUGAUGAAGGCCUUAGGGUUGUAAAGCUCUUUUAACCGGGAUGAUAAUGACAGUACCGGGAGAAUAAGCUCCGGCUAACUCCGUG
rnacentral:rRNA from 1 species